ACAGGUUUGCACACACACUCACAGAGGGAGUGAGGGCUAUCUGUGGGCCCAGUCAUGCUUCACUCAUGCAGAGGUGUCUGUUAGCAGUGGGAGUUAUCAUUGGCCAUGGAGGCUUAUUCCUCUGCCAGGGGAGACCAUGCCAGGAAAUGACUGAUAACACAGCACAGCGACGACCGGCUCGCGCAGCAGCAGCACAUGUAGACCCGGGCAGAGAUGAAGGAAUGAUGGGAAAUAUGUGCACAUACAUCAUAAAGUGCAGCUCGGGCCCUCCCUCCUUUAGCCUUUUUCCACUAAUGACAUGUAUUUACGUUCCAUUAGCUCUGAAAGGGUAAACAGGAUUGAGGGAGCAGCUCACUCAGAGGUAGAACCACAUUUUUCUGAUCUAAUAUCUUAAACAUUAUUUGUUGCAACGUGAAGCUGCAAAAUGAAAAGGCUCAUAGAUAUAAUAAGCAUGGAGGGGAAUUGAUGGUUUGUGUGAUCGCCCGAGAGAGAAUCAUAACUUUGAGUCACAUGCUUGUGGUAUUUAAUUUCGGUGAUUCAAUUUAUUCACUGUAAUGUCGUCAUCUACCGCCAAAAUCGCUUUCCGUCUGUGCCGAGGAAAUCGGAAGGGUCUCGAUAUCCUUCACAUUGCUUGACAGUUGAAGGACCAAGGUUUUUUUUCAGGGGUUGAGUGUUUUCUUGUUUUAGACGGAAACGCUACUCCAGAAUUUCUGAAGAGCAACUGGGUGAAUUGAGGACUCUGGGUAUUUCCAGUAAGUAAUUUAAAACCUGCAUCAACAAGAGGCCACACAGAUCUUGGAUUCAAUUUGUGAAAUACGUUGAGUGAGGGAAAUGUGAAAUAGUUCAAGUAUUACAGUUUUUGAAGGUGGUGUGUUUUUGUUUUUAGCCUCCAGAAAUACAAGAAGAGAAGUGUAAGGAAUGGAUUUAACUGUAUUUAUCAUACAUUUUUCAUAUUUUUGGUGUUGAAACGGUAAUGAAUGUACAACUGUUCAUUAUCAAAAACACCUUCAGCCGGAGUCGAGAGCCUUUCAGAUGUGCUCAUGAAUAUACUGUACCUCUUAAUGGUGAAAAGCAGUCAAGGAGGACCAACGCUGCCCAUAACCACCCACAAUUCAAACAAGGUUACCUGUGGGCGACACCUGGAGAGGCGUUCAUUGUGCGCUUUGGUGAGCAGUCCUGUAAUAAACCUGCUGACCAGACUUGACUGGAAACAUGUAAAGACACUUUACCCUACCAUGAAGAAGUAUUUCACAAGUUACCUGUGGGCGACACCUGAAGAGGCAUUCAUUGUGCGUUGGUGAGCAGUCCUGUAAUAAACCUGCUGACCAGACUUGUCUGGAAACAUAUAAGGACACGGAAAUAUCUUUACCCUUCCAUGAAGAAGUAAUUCACAAAAAUGACUUUGCAGUUUGUGGCAUUGAGGUGAAAACAGGUUUAUCUGGAGAUUGCAUCAGUCCUUGUUCGACCCGGAGAAACGUGACAUCAAUGCUGCCGCCUGAUGUAUUCUUGAUUUGAAGUAAAAGAAAACUACUUUUCCUGCGAGUUCCUCCGAAUGUGACUGAAUCUGGAGACCCGACACCUUCAACGCAAAACCAAAAAAGCCAGUUUGUGUGUGUGUUAUCGCUGCACACGCCAAAUGAUGCAAGCAUGUGGUCUGAUAAUCUCACAGCAGAGACCGGCGUCUCUUUACUCUUUCUCCUGCAGCCAAACCUGUCCUGCUGAUAGCCGUUGAUAGUCUUACUCAACACUAUCACUGUGAAAAACACAUGUUGGCAGAUCGGGGAAUAGUAUUCCUGCUCUCCGAGGGCGAAAACGAAUAAGAGACAGAAAUAUUGCUUUGGUCUGCGUUUAAGGGGCAAUGAGGUUAACAUGCUGUCUGCAGAGUCCCAGUAAGCCCCCAGAGUUAAUCUAGGCCACAUUCAAAUAUGAAACAGCUACUGUAGGUUUUUCAGAGCUUAAUGUCUUUGAGACGGUGCUGCUGAUGUUUUCAAAGUAAGAUUUGAAUAAAUAAUCCCUUGCCUCUCUAAAAAAACGAGUAAGAAGAUCGCACCCUUGGGCAUAAACAACUUCAUCUUUUGAUUUCUCAUGGUUCGGAUUGUGCUUGAGUUUACCUAUCUGCCCACUCUCCUUUCUCUUAUCCUCAUUUAUCAUACUACAAGUUACUCUAAAUAGGUGUGAAAACAAUUAAAGCAAGUUGUUUUCAUUCAUACAACAAUAACACUGCGGUCUACAC